AGUUGGCUGAUGCAGACCCGAAACCAAGUGACCUACCCAUGACCAGGUUGAAGGCGCGGUAAAACGCGCUGGAGGACCGAACCCACGUAAGUUGAAAAUUGCGGGGAUGAGUUGUGGGUAGCGGUGAAAUUCCAAACGAACUUGGAGAUAGCUGGUUCUCUCCGAAAUAGCUUUAGGGCUAGCCUCGCAAAGAGGAUGCUGGAGGUAGAGCUCUGUUUGGACUAGGGGCCCGUCAGGGGUUACUGAAUCCAGAUAAACUGCGAAUUCCAGACAUUUGUAUGCGGGAGUCAGACUGCGAGUGAUAAGAUCCGUAGUCGAAAGGGAAACAGCCCAGAUCACCAGUUAAGGUCCCUAAAUACAUGCUAAGUGGGAAAGGAUGUGGAGUUGCGUAGACAACUAGGACGUUGGCUCAGAAGCAGCCAUCAUUCAAAGAGUGCGUAAUAGCUCACUAGUCGAGUGACGCCGCGCCGAAAAUUUAACGGGGCUAAGCAUGAUACCGAAACUGUGGAUGUGCAUUAUGCACGUGGUAGGAGAGCGUUCUAGCGGCGGUGAAGCAUGACCGGGAGGACAUGUGGAGCUUCUAGAAGUGAGAAUGCCGGUAUGAGUAACGAAAGAUGGGUGAGAAUCCCAUCCGCCGCAAGACUAAGGUUUCCUGGGGCAGGCUCGUCCGCCCAGGGUAAGUCGGGACCUAAGGCGAGGCCGAAAGGCGUAGUCGAUGGACAACAGGUAGAGAUUCCUGUACUGCACCGAAUCGUUAUGAGCGAAGGAGGGACGCAGGAGGCUAUCAGCGCGUGGGGCUGGAUCCACGUUCAAGCGACAAGCUUUGGAAUGAGUCAAAUGCUUAUUCCUUCAAGAGCAAGUCGUGAUGAGGAGCGAAAUUUAUAGUAGCGAAGGCUGAGACGUCACACUGCCGAGAAAAGCUUCUAGCCAGAGACGGUGCACCCGUACCGCAAACCGACACAGGUAGUCGAGGAGAGUAUCCUCAGGUGAGCGAGAGAACUCUCGUUAAGGAACUCGGCAAAAUGGCCCCGUAACUUCGGGAGAAGGGGCGCUGGUCGCAAGAUCAGCCGCAGUGAAAAGGCCCAAGCAACUGUUUAUCAAAAACACAGGCAUCUGCAAAAUCGCAAGAUGAAGUAUAGGUGCUGACACCUGCCCGGUGCUGGAAGGUUAAGAGGAGAGCUUAGCGCAAGCGAAGGCUUGAAUUGAAGCCCCAGUAAACGGCGGCCGUAACUAUAACGGUCCUAAGGUAGCGAAAUUCCUUGUCGGGUAAGUUCCGACCUGCACGAAAGGUGUAAUGAUUUGGGCACUGUCUCAACGAGAGACUCGGUGAAAUUAUAAUACCCGUGAAGAUGCGGGUUACCCGCGACAGGACGGAAAGACCCCAUGGAGCUUUACUGCAGUUUAAUAUUGGGUAUCUGUCAAGCAUGUACAGGAUAGGUAGGAGCCAGAGAAGGUGGGACGCCAGUCUCACCGGAGGCGCUGUUGGGAUACUACCCCUGCUUGACGGAUGCUCUAACUCAGGCUUGUGAACCAGGCCGAGGACAGUGUUUGACGGGCAGUUUGACUGGGGCGGUCGCCUCCUAAAGCGUAACGGAGGCGCUCAAAGGUUCCCUCAGAAUGGUUGGAAAUCAUUCGCAGAGUGUAAAGGCAGAAGGGAGCUUGACUGCGAGAGCAACAACUCGAGCAGGUACGAAAGUAGGACUUAGUGAUCUGGUGAUUCCGCAUGGAAGGGUCAUCACUCAACGGAUAAAAGCUACCCUGGGGAUAACAGGCUUAUCUCCCCCAAGAGUUCACAUCGACGGGGAGGUUUGGCACCUCGAUGUCGGCUCGUCGCAUCCUGGGGCUGAAGUCGGUCCCAAGGGUUGGGCUGUUCGCCCAUUAAAGCGGCACGCGAGCUGGGUUCAGAACGUCGUGAGACAGUUCGGUCCCUAUCCGUCGUGGGCGCAGGAAAUUUGAGAGGAGCUGUCCUUAGUACGAGAGGACCGGGAUGGACGCACCGCUGGUGUACCAGUUGUUCCGCCAGGAGCAUCGCUGGGUAGCUAUGUGCGGAAGGGAUAAGCGCUGAAAGCAUCUAAGUGCGAAGCCCCCCUCAAGAUGAGAUUUCCCAUUUCUUCAAGAAAGUAAGACACCUCAGAGACGAUGAGGUAGAUAGGCCGGGAGUGGAAGAGCCGCGAGGCUUGGAGCGGACCGGUACUAAUCAGUCGAGGACUUGACCAAA
rnacentral:rRNA from 1 species